rnacentral:lncRNA from 1 species
CUUAUCAUGAUGUUCAGGGCUAUCUCGUACUCUGCAGUCUCGUACUCCCUCCUCUAAGUGUGAAUGGCAGCUAGGUUUUCGAGGGGCACAGUCAGGAACACUUUGGCUGCCGUGGAAAACAAAGUAGGGAGACACAGUUUAACAUAACAACAUGAUCAAAAUCAUUGGAUAUAGCGAGUAUGGCGCCGGAGAGGAUGGCUGCUGUUUCACGGGCUCUUAACCAUCUGUGCUAUUUUGUUCGUUUUUUUGCGUUGUUUGUAACUUGUUUUUUUUGUGGUUUUUUUUACAUAAUGUUGCUGCUACUGUCUCUUCUGACCAAAAAUAACUUCUGGACAGUGUUUACUCACCUCGAACUGGAUGAAGAUUUGUUCUUUAACGAGUCCGACGCAAAGGAUAUACUGCUUUCUCAGGAAUGACCCCAAAUCCCCAUCAUUUGCGUGAAAAAGGGGGCGGAGGUCGGGCUGCCUUCUGAGAAUUCAUAGGCGAAGUCGUGGCUGAACGACGACACGGAUAAUAUAGAGCUGGCAGGAUUUUCCAUGCAUUGGCAAGACAAGGAAGCUACGUCUGUCUCCAUAAUCUGGGCUGUGGGUAAUAUCCCGCAGCGCGCCAAAUCUCCAUCCACAUCCCCAUCACUCUUCCUUACCUUUUCCAGGUAGGUGCCAAACGGUCGUUCAGAUUCUGCAUGGUAUGCUUCUCGUUGGCACCGAUAGUUAUCUGGCCUGGCCCGUCCAUAGAGAAGGAGGAGUGAGAGAUACGGGUGCCGUAUCCCCCGGCACCUUACCUCUAAGCCAAAACAGUACAAAUCGUUCAUUCCCGGUGGACCCACAAGACAACGUGAUCCACAUGCCUCGCUAUUUAAACUCAUCCCCAUCAAGACUUCACUGUCACUAUCCUCAAACCACCACCCAUUGAAAUCCCAAAGCCCCCUCAUUCAGCC